AGAGUUUGAUCCUGGCUCAGAGCGAACGCUGGCGGCAGGCCUAAAACAUGCAAGUCGAACGGACCCUUCGGGGUUAGUGGCGGACGGGUGAGUAACACGUGGGAACGUGCCCUUUGGUUCGGAACAACUCAGGGAAACUUGAGCUAAUACCGGAUGUGCCCUUCGGGGGAAAGAUUUAUCGCCAUUGGAGCGGCCCGCGUCUGAUUAGCUAGUUGGUAGGGUAAAAGCCUACCAAGGCUACGAUCAGUAGCUGGUCUGAGAGGAUGAUCAGCCACACUGGGACUGAGACACGGCCCAGACUCCCACGGGAGGCAGCAGUUAGGAAUCUUGCGCAAUGGGCGAAAGCCUGACGCAGCCAUGCCGCGUGAAUGAUGAAGGUCUUAGGAUUGUAAAAUUCUUUCAGCGGGGACGAUAAUGACGGUACCCGCAGAAGAAGCUCCGGCUAACUUCGUGCCAGCAGCCGCGGUAAUACGAAGGGGGCUAGCGUUGCUCGGAAUUACUGGGCGUAAAGGGCGCGUAGGCGGACAGUUUAGUCAGAGGUGAAAGCCCAGGGCUCAACCUUGGAACUGCCUUUGAUACUGGCUGUCUUGAGUUCGGGAGAGGUGUGUGGAACUCCGAGUGUAGAGGUGAAAUUCGUAGAUAUUCGGAAGAACACCAGUGGCGAAGGCGACACACUGGCCCGAUACUGACGCUGAGGCGCGAAAGCGUGGGGAGCAAACAGGAUUAGAUACCCUAGUAGUCC
rnacentral:rRNA from 1 species